rnacentral:rRNA from 1 species
AGAGUUUGAUCAUGGCUCAGGACGAACGCUGGCGGCGUGCUUAAUACAUGCAAGUCGAGCGGACCGAGCGGCGCGUUGCUGGUUUCCAGCGACAAGCUGCAAAGGUUAGCGGCGAACGGGUGAGUAACACGUGGGUAAUCUGCCCCCAAGACCGGGAUAACAGAGCGAAAGCGCUGCUAAUACUGGAUGACCUCUCUUUAUCGCAUGGUGGAGGGAGCAAAGCGUAAGCGCUUGGGGAUGAGCCCGCGUUCCAUUAGCUAGUUGGUGAGGUAACGGCUCACCAAGGCGACGAUGGAUAGCCGGCCUGAGAGGGUGACCGGCCACACUGGGACUGAGACACGGCCCAGACUCCUACGGGAGGCAGCAGUAGGGAAUUUUCGGCAAUGGGGGAAACCCUGACCGAGCAACGCCGCGUGAGGGAUGAAGGCCUUCGGGUCGUAAACCUCUGUCUUUGGGGACGAUAAUGACGGUACCCGAGGAGGAAGCCCCGGCUAACUACGUGCCAGCAGCCGCGGUAAUACGUAGGGGGCGAGCGUUGUCCGGAAUUACUGGGCGUAAAGGGCGUGUAGGCGGCCUGUUAAGUCAGGCGUGAAAACCCCGGGCUUAACCUGGGGACUGCGUUUGAAACUGGCGGGCUUGAGGGCAGGAGAGGAAAGUGGAAUUCCCGGUGUAGCGGUGAUAUGCGUAGAUACCGGGAGGAACACCAGUGGCGAAGGCGGCUUUCUGGACUGCACCUGACGCUGAGGCGCGAAAGCUAGGGUAGCGAACGGGAUUAGAUACCCCGGUAGUCCUAGCCGUAAACGAUGGGUACUAGGUGUGGGAGGUAUCGACCCCUUCCGUGCCGCAGUUAACGCAAUAAGUACCCCGCCUGGGGAGUACGGCCGCAAGGCUGAAACUUAAAGGAAUUGACGG